CGCAUCUGUGCAUGCAGCAUAUCAAUAAGCGGAGGAAAAGAAACUAACAAGGAUUCCCCUAGUAGCGGCGAGUGAAGCGGGAAGAGCUCAAAUUUGAAAUCUUAAAGGGUUUCCCUUUACGAAUUGUAGUUUAAAGAAGUGUUUUCUGUUGAGGUUUUGGUAAAAGUUCUUUGGAAUAGGACAUCAUAGAGGGUGAGAAUCCCGUAUUUGACCUUUACUUUCAACUUUGUGAUACACUUUCAAAGAGUCGGAUUGUUUGGGAAUGCAGUCCAAAAUGGGUGGUAAAUUUCAUCUAAAGCUAAAUAUUGGCGAGAGACGGAUAGCGAACAAGUACCGUGAGGGAAAGAUGAAAUGAACUUUGAAAAGAGAGUUAAACAGUACGUGAAAUUGUCAAAAGGGAAGCGUUUGACACCAGUGUUGUUUUUCCAAAAAUCAAUUACGAAUGGCUUGAUUUUGUGUUGUAUUGACCUUAUCAGCUUUCUGCACUUUUUUCGAGUCUUUCUUAAUGCACUUUUUGGUUAACAAGUCAACAUCAAUUUCUUUUGUUGUAAAAGAGUAUUCGGAAGGUGGCUUUCUUUUCGGAGAAAGUGUUUAUAGCCCUAUACUUCUACAAUCGGAGAGAUUGAGGUCUGCAGCGUAGAUCCUUCGGGGCUAGAUAGCUUGGUGCUAAGUUAUAGCAUUUUAUAGACAACUUGUUGACUAUGAUUAGUCAUUGUAGCUUACUCGCUUAUGUUAUUUUACCUACGCUUAGGAUGUUGAACUCUAUCACACACAG
rnacentral:rRNA from 1 species